rnacentral:rRNA from 1 species
GCAGUCGACGGAAGGCCCUUCGGGGUACUCGAGUGGCGAACGGGUGAGUAACACGUGGGUGAUCUGCCCUGCACUUUGGGAUAAGCCUGGGAAACUGGGUCUAAUACCGAAUAUGACCACGCGCUUCAUGGUGUGUGGUGGAAAGCUUUUGCGGUGUGGGAUGGGCCCGCGGCCUAUCAGCUUGUUGGUGGGGUAAUGGCCUACCAAGGCGACGACGGGUAGCCGGCCUGAGAGGGUGACCGGCCACACUGGGACUGAGAUACGGCCCAGACUCCUACGGGAGGCAGCAGUGGGGAAUAUUGCACAAUGGGCGCAAGCCUGAUGCAGCGACGCCGCGUGAGGGAUGACGGCCUUCGGGUUGUAAACCUCUUUCAAUAGGGACGAAGCGCAAGUGACGGUACCUAUAGAAGAAGGACCGGCCAACUACGUGCCAGCAGCCGCGGUAAUACGUAGGGUCCGAGCGUUGUCCGGAAUUACUGGGCGUAAAGAGCUCGUAGGUGGUUUGUCGCGUUGUUCGUGAAAACUCACAGCUUAACUGUGGGCGUGCGGGCGAUACGGGCAGACUAGAGUACUGCAGGGGAGACUGGAAUUCCUGGUGUAGCGGUGGAAUGCGCAGAUAUCAGGAGGAACACCGGUGGCGAAGGCGGGUCUCUGGGCAGUAACUGACGCUGAGGAGCGAAAGCGUGGGGAGCGAACAGGAUUAGAUACCCUGGUAGUCCACGCCGUAAACGGUGGGUACUAGGUGUGGGUUUCCUUCCUUGGGAUCCGUGCCGUAGCUAACGCAUUAAGUACCCCGCCUGGGGGAGUACGGCCGCAAGGCUAAAACUCAAAGGAAUUGACGGGGGGCCCGCACAAGCGGCGGAGCAUGUGGGAUUAAUUCGAUGCAACGCGAAGAAACCUUACCUGGGGUUUGACAUGCACAGGACGACUGCAGAGAUGUGUUUUCC